AUCAUUGGCCACCCUGUUUUAGCCAGACCAGCCCACUGAUCAAGUGCUGAGUUCGUCACUGCAAAGAGGUGUCCGCGUGUGCUUGUGUGCUUGUGGGCUUGAGGCAGAGAAGGCUCGUCAGUGUGUGUACGCGCAUGGAGGAGCUUCUUAAAGGAGUUUACUUCAACACGAACUUGUCCGUUAUGUUUCUCUGUCGGUUUCUGCUUGUGGUUCUGCUCUCUGUCGUUUCCUUAUCCAUGGAUCAGGUUUCUUAAGGAAAAUAGAAUCGCUGGUGCUGACAUCAUGGCUGAAAUGAGAUAAAUUGAGUGUUGGGGAGGAGACAAAGAGGGAGACGAAAACCACUCAGCAAGUUCCAGUUGUGGUUCCUAUAACUACAGAAACUGCUGAUGGUCUGCUGUGUGUAUAUGGCACUGAUCCUGCGGCUGCUAAUUACACCUGGUACAGACAGGAUUUGCUCUCUCUUCCUGAAGGAACUAAAGCAGAAGGAAACAGACUGCAUUUCAUGACGUCAACCUCAGACCUAAAUGGAAUGUAUGUCUGCAUUAUUACCAAUAAAUAUGGCACAUUUGCCGCUCAACUCUAUAGAAAAAUUCAUGACUGUCCCCUACAGAGGAUUUCAAAAUGGGGUAAGGUGAUAAUUUUUUAAAAUUUAAAUACAUAUAGAUUUUUUAAGGGCAUUAACUUCCAUAUUUACAUAGAAACAAAUGUCCAAUAUACUGUAGGCCUUUCUCUGAAUGUUUUUAAAAACUAUGAACAAAAUAUUCUAAUCUAAUAAUGUAAUCUAAUGUGUCCAAACUUCUGACUGGUAUACAAUAUAUGGAAUAAAAGCUGGCAGCUUUAUCCAUCACUCACUUUCAGUAAACACUUUGUUGUGGUCAAAGUUGUGGUGGAUCUGGAGCCUCAACCGGGAACAUGAAUCACAAAUGGGACCCAGUCCAUCGCAGGGCAUCAUGUGCACACACACUGAUGUAUUCAUUAACACCUAGAGGCAAUUUAGACGAUUUAACAUGCACAGAAACUCGGCACAGAGGGUUACCCGAGCUCAGUAUAAACCGGGGACCAUGGAGCAGUCACUUCACCAUUCAUAUCUAAUUUGUCUAACUAACAAACCUGCAAUAACACAGAUCUUUUUCUACUCAGCUAGCCACCUGUUAAGGUAAAGAAGCUUAUGUGUUCAUGCCUAUUUUAAUAUAAGAUUUUAUAUUUCUACAGUUUUGGCACUGUGGAAGCUGCUGAAUCCAACACAGUAUCUUCAACAGUGAACUCCAAAAACUCCUGCAAAUCUACAGAGGACUAAAAUUGUUAUUUGGCCCUCAAAAAUUACACAGUUAUUAUUGACUCUUUCAGCUCAUGCAGUUAUCCAAGGUACAACCUGUGAACCUGAAAAACAAUCUGUGAUAAAUGGUUCUUUGUGGUGAUUUCUGAAAGGGGCUGAAGCUUGUAUGAUUGGCAUUCCAAACUUAAACAAACUACUAUAUAUAUA
ensembl:lncRNA